UACGUAGGGACCGAGCGUUGUCCGGAAUCAUUGGGCGUAAAGAGCGUGUAGGCGGCCCCUUAAGUCCUGCGUGAAAUCCUGCGGCUCAACCGCAGACGGUCGUGGGAAACUGGAAGGCUAGAGUGCGGGAGAGGAGAGUGGAAUUCCCGGUGUAGCGGUGAAAUGCGCAGAUAUCGGGAAGAACACCCGUGGCGAAGGCGGCUCUCUGGAACGCAACUGACGCUGAGACGCGAAAGCGUGGGGAGCAAACAGG
rnacentral:rRNA from 1 species